UGGUAGGCAGCGAGUGACCUAGUGACACAUACAGAAGUGGCUAAUUUUGUGUUCUUCGAUUUGUGAAUGCUCGACGGGACGGUUUGUUUUCGACACCAGUGGAUUCCUGUCGUUGGAAAGAGUUUGGUCUAACGACUUCGCGGGAGUUUAGGUGAAGUAUUUUUGCGUCUGAAUUAGAAGGUUAUGUGCUUUGUCUUCAGGAUUUAAAGUUGAACAUUCCCCGCAUUGAAGAAGUUGCCUGGCGUUUUCGAUAUUUACAGCGCAAUGGUUACUACAGAUACUGGAUUCUAUGCUGAGAAACCUAUUCAACUUUCUCGGAAUACUAUGAUUCGUGGAAAUCCUGAUUGGACUUCGGUAAACUACACAUGCUGGGUUCUUUGAUGAGAAAAUUCUUAAAUUUCCCGGAGUACUGAAAUUCUUCGGAUUUCUGGUUCAAAGUACUUACUAGUAAGUUAUUGGUAUAAGUAAAAAUUGUUUAUUUUAGUAUUAUGUAGUUAAUUAAAGGAUAGAUACUUUGAA